AUACGAACUGUGCAAACGUUAUUCGGAAUCACUGGGCUUACAGGGUGCGUAGGCGGUCUGUUAAGUAGGGUGUGAAAGCCCCCGGCUCAACCGGGGAAUUGCGCCCUAAACUGGCGGACUGGAGUGAGAUAGGGGUGUGCGGAACUUCCGGUGGAGCGGUGAAAUGUGUUGAUAUCGGAAGGAACGCCGGUGGCGAAAGCGGCACACUGGAUCUCAACUGACGCUGAGGCACGAAAGCCAGGGGAGCGAACGG
rnacentral:rRNA from 1 species